AAUUCCAAAAAUCAGUGCCAUUGGCUUUAGCUUUGCCCUUGAACUUGAAAUCUCGUGCCUUAUUCUUUCCGGCCUGGGGACUGGUGUUGGAUAUUGAACGGGCGGAGUUAUCGCCGGGAUGAUGGAUGAAGGAGGUGAUGGAUGAAGGAGAUGAUGGCCUAAACUUGGCUGCGCGCAUUCUCAUUUUCGCGUGGCCUGCCACUAGUGUUUCGCAGAUUCACAAAGGGUGUCACAAGCAUAGCUGGAGGAAGAAAGGUUUUCUGGCUGAUUCCUCCGACCCCAAUCAAUCUUCAGAUCUAUGAGCAGUGGGUGUUGUCGGGUAAACAGCAGGAUAUAUUCCUGGGUGACAUGGUCGAGAAGUGUGCCCGCGUCGAAUUGAAACCAGGCUGGACUUUUGUCAUUCCUACUGGUAUAUCAUCUCGUGACGACCACAUUGAAGUCUGAAUUUGAAGUGCGAAGAUGCUUCAGCAACCACAUCGUACUUUUCCAUUGCUCAUUGUGCUUCUACUGUGCAUGUGUGUAACUUGUGGGGUAUAUAUGUGAUGACAUUGUAUGCUGGCGACACGGUCAGAUUUUGUCCAUGCGUGUAACGUACACCUGCGUGUUAUGCAUUGAAAAGGAUCUGCCACUUGCGAUCCUGGGACAAGUAUCAGGUCAGCUUUGUCUUGUGUGGGCUGUACCAGAUUGCUGUUCACUUUUCCAUCUGUUGGAUAUGUGACUUUCUGCAAGUCUCUGGUGUAUGGUGGCCACUUCUUUGCUUGUCACUUUGUAUGAUAUUACAUUCUGUAUUCGCUGCUUCCAUGGCGUGGUCUGCAAACUGCAAUCCUUGGGCAAAUGUCAUGUUUGCUAUGUUGUGCUUUGGCCGUCAGCUUGUCUACACGUUGUAGUUGAAUUAUUUUGUUCCACAACUGACUUCCUUUUAAAAGUACAGUGGCCACUGCUUUGCAUGGCAUUUUA